rnacentral:rRNA from 1 species
UACGGGGGGGGUAAGCGUUGUUCGGAAUUACUGGGCGUAAAGGGCUCGUAGGCGGCCAACUAAGUCGGACGUGAAAUCCCUCAGCUUAACUGGGGAACUGCGUCCGAUACUGGAUGGCUUGGAUUUGGGAGAGGGAUGCGGAAUUCCAGGUGUAGCGGUGAAAUGCGUAGAUAUCUGGAGGAACACCGGUGGCGAAGGCGGCAUCCUGGACCAACACUGACGCUGAGGAGCGAAAGCCAGGGGAGCAAACGGG